rnacentral:rRNA from 1 species
GACGAACGCUGGCGGCGUGCUUAACACAUGCAAGUCGAGCGAGUUGAUUCCCUUCGGGGAUGAAGCUAGCGGCGGACGGGUGAGUAACACGUGGGCAACCUGCCUUAUAGAGGGGGUUAGCCUUCCGAAAGGAAGAUUAAUACCGCAUAACAACAGAUUAUCGCAUGGUAGACUGAUCAAAGGAGCAAUCCGCUAUAAGAUGGGCCCGCGUCGCAUUAGCUAGUUGGUGAGGUAACGGCUCACCAAGGCGACGAUGCGUAGCCGACCUGAGAGGGUGAUCGGCCACAUUGGGACUGAGACACGGCCCAGACUCCUACGGGAGGCAGCAGUGGGGAAUAUUGCACAAUGGGGGAAACCCUGAUGCAGCAACGCCGCGUGAGUGAUGAAGGCCUUCGGGUUGUAAAGCUCUUUGAUCAGGGACGAUAAUGACGGUACCUGAAGAACAAGCCACGGCUAACUACGUGCCAGCAGCCGCCGUAAGAC